rnacentral:rRNA from 1 species
GACGUAGGGCGCGAGCGUUGUCCGGAUUUAUUGGGCGUAAAGGGCGCGUAGGCGGCAGAUUAAGUCAGCUGUGAAAUCUCCGAGCUUAACUCGGAACUGUCAGCUGAUACUGUUUUGCUAGAGUGCGGAAGGGGCAAUCGGAAUUCUUGGUGUAGCGGUGAAAUGCGUAGAUAUCAAGAGGAACACCUGAGGUGAAGACGGGUUGCUGGGCCGACACUGACGCUGAGUGCGCGAAAGCCAGGGGAGCAAACGGG